GUAUGGAGCAAGCGUUAUCCGGAUUUACUGGGUGUAAAGGGAGUGUAGGUGGCCAGGCAAGUCAGAAGUGAAAGCCCGGGGCUCAACCCCGGGACUGCUUUUGAAACUGCAGGGCUAGAGUGCAGGAGGGGCAAGUGGAAUUCCUAGUGUAGCGGUGAAAUGCGUAGAUAUUAGGAGGAACACCAGUGGCGAAGGCGGCUUGCUGGACUGUAACUGACACUGAGGCUCGAAAGCGUGGGGAGCAAACAGGAUUAGAUACCCUGGUAGUCCACGCGGUAAACGAUGAAUGCUAGGUGUCGGGGAGCAAAGCUCUUCGGUGCCGCCGCAAACGCAUUAAGCAUUCCACCUGGGGAGU
rnacentral:rRNA from 1 species